GAUGAACGCUGGUGGCGUGCCUAACACAUGCAAGUCGAGCGAUUCUCUUCGGAGAAGAGCGGCGGACGGGUGAGUAACGCGUGGGUAACCUGCCCUGUACACACGGAUAACAUACCGAAAGGUAUGCUAAUACGAGAUAACAUGCUUUUAUCGCAUGGUAGAAGUAUCAAAGCUUUUGCGGUACAGGAUGGACCCGCGUCUGAUUAGCUAGUUGGUGAGGUAACGGCUCACCAAGGCGACGAUCAGUAGCCGACCUGAGAGGGUGAUCGGCCACAUUGGAACUGAGACACGGUCCAAACUCCUACGGGAGGCAGCAGUGGGGAAUAUUGCACAAUGGGCGAAAGCCUGAUGCAGCAACGCCGCGUGAGCGAUGAAGGCCUUCGGGUCGUAAAGCUCUGUCCUCAAGGAAGAUAAUGACGGGACGUGAGGAGGAAGCCCCGGCUAACUACG
rnacentral:rRNA from 1 species